UACGGGGGGGGCAAGCGUUGUUCGGAAUUACUGGGCGUAAAGGGCUGGUAGGCGGCCAACUAAGUCCGACGUGAAAUCCCAAGGCUUAACCUUGGAACUGCGUCGGAUACUGGAUGGCUUGAAUUCGGGAGAGGGAUGCGGAAUUCCAGGUGUAGCGGUGAAAUGCGUAGAUAUCUGGAGGAACACCGGUGGCGAAGGCGGCAUCCUGGACCGACACUGACACUGAGGAGCGAAAGCCAGGGGAGCAAACGGG
rnacentral:rRNA from 1 species